GCCGGUGACGCGUAUUCUCGGGUUGAUAAUACAUACCUGAUGUUAUUGCUUGAGAAUACACGUAGCUGGU
ncrna:Saccoglossus kowalevskii microRNA sko-mir-137 precursor